GGUUCGAUUCUGGCUCAGAUUGAACGCUGGCGGGAUGUGCACUACACAUGCAAGUCGAACGGCAGCACGGACUUCGGUCUGGUGGCGAGUGGCGAACGGGUGAGUAAUGUAUCGGAACGUGCCUAGUAGCGGGGGAUAACUACGCGAAAGCGUAGCUAAUACCACAUACGCCCUUCGGGAAAGCGGGGACAGCACAGGCCUCGCACUAUUAAAACGGCGAUAUCGGAUUAGCUAGUUGGUGGGGUAACGGCUCACCAAGGCGACGAUCCGUAGCUGGUUUGAGAGGACGACCAGCCACACUGGGACUGAGACACGGCCCAGACUCCUACGGGAGGCAGCAGUGGGGAAUUUUGGACAAUGGAAACCUGAUCCAGCCAUCCCGCGUGUGCGAUGAAGGCCUUCGGGUUGUAAAGCACUUUUGGCAGGAAAGAAACGGCACGGGAUAGCCACCCCGUGCAACUGACGGUACCUGCAGAAUAAGCCUCGGCUAACUGCGAUACCGGCAACCGCGGUAAUACGUAGGGUGCAAGCGUUAAUCGGAAUUACUGGGCGUAAAGCGUGCGCAGGCGGUUCGGAAAGAAAAGAUGUGAAAUCCCAGAGCUUAACUUUGGAACUGCAUUUUUAACUACCUACGACUGAAGACCAUUAUCGAAGAGAGUGGAAUUCCGCGUGUAGCAGUGAAAUGCGUGAAUGCGGAGGGCACCGAUGGCGAAGGCAAGCUCUGGGAUAACGGCCUUUCAUGCACGAAAAGCGUGGGAGCAAACGGGAUUAGAUGCACUGGUAGUCCACGCUAAACGAUGUCCAACUAGCUGUUGGGGCCUUCGGGCCUUGGUAGCGCAGCUAACGCGUGAAGUUGACCGCCUGGGAGAACUACAGAAGUCGCAAGAUUCAAACUCAAAGGAAUUGACGGGGACCCGCACAAGCGGUGGGAUAUGGAUUAAUUCGAUGCAACGCGAAAACCUACCCUUGACAUGUCUGGAAUCCCGAAGAUUUGGGAGUGCUCGCAAGAAGACUUCCGGAACACAGGUGCUGCAUGGCUGUCGUCAGCUCGUGUCGUGAGAUGUUGGGUUAAGUCCCUGUAGCGAGCGCAACCACUUGUCAUUAGUUGCUACACGAAAGGGCACUCAGCCGGGCCUGCCGGUGACAAACCGGAGGAAGGGAGUGGGGAUGACGUCAAGUCCUCAUGGCCCUUAUGGGUAGGGCUUCACGUCAUACAAUGGUCGGGACAGAGGGUCGCCAACCCGCGAGAGGCCAAUCCCAGAAACCCGAUCAAUGGUCCGGAUCGCAGUCUGCAACUCGACUGCGUGGGGGUGAAUCUGGUAAUCGCGGAUCAGCAUGUCGCCGGUGAAUACGUUCCCGGGUCUUGUACACACCGCCCGGCGUACACCAUGGGAGUGGGUUUUGAAAGUAGUUAGCCUAACCGUAAGGAGGGCGAUUACCACGGUAGGAUUCAUGACUGGGGUAAGUGUUAACAAGGUAA
rnacentral:rRNA from 1 species